rnacentral:rRNA from 1 species
GUACGCGAGCUGGGUUUAGAACGUCGUGAGACAGUUCGGUCCCUAUCUGCCGUGGGCGCUGGAGAAUUGAGGGGGGCUGCUCCUAGUACGAGAGGACCGGAGUGGACGCAUCACUGGUGUUCGGGUUGUCAUGCCAAUGGCACUGCCCGGUAGCUAAAUGCGGAAGAGAUAAGUGCUGAAAGCAUCUAAGCACGAAACUUGCCCCGAGAUGAGUUCUCCCUGAGACUUUAAGUCUCCUGAAGGAACGUUAAAGACGAUGACGUUGAUAGGCCGGGUGUGUAAGCGCAGCGAUGCGUUGAGCUAACCGGUACUAAUGAACCGUGAGGCUUAACCUUACAACGCCGAAG